GCUCCCAUAGCUCAGUUGGUAGAGCGCUUCCAUGGUAAGGAAGAGGUCACCAGUUCGAGUCUGGUUGGGAGCU
rnacentral:tRNA from 2 species